GUCUGGGUGGUGUAGUUGGUUAUCACGUUAGUCUCACACACUAAAGGUCCCCAUUUCGAACCUGGGCUUAGACA
rnacentral:tRNA from 1 species